GAUGAACGCUGGCGGCGUGCCUAAUACAUGCAAGUCGAGCGAACGGACGAGAAGCUUGCUUCUCUGAUGUUAGCGGCGGACGGGUGAGUAACACGUGGAUAACCUACCUAUAAGACUGGGAUAACUUCGGGAAACCGGAGCUAAUACCGGAUAAUAUUUUGAACCGCAUGGUUCAAAAGUGAAAGACGGUCUUGCUGUCACUUAUAGAUGGAUCCGCGCUGCAUUAGCUAGUUGGUAAGGUAACGGCUUACCAAGGCAACGAUGCAUAGCCGACCUGAGAGGGUGUUCGGCCACACUGGAACUGAGACACGGUCCAGACUCCUACGGGAGGCAGCAGUAGAGAAUCUUCCGCAAUGGGCGAAAGCCUGACGGAGCAACGCCGCGUGAGUGAUGAAGGUCUUCGGAUCGUAAAACUCUGUUAUUAGGGAAGAACAUAUGUGUAAGUAACUGUGCACAUCUUGACGGUACCUAAUCAGAAAGCCACGGCUAACUACGUG
rnacentral:rRNA from 1 species